rnacentral:tRNA from 12 species
GGUCCGUUGGUCAAGGGGUUAAGACACCGCCUUUUCACGGCGGUAACACGGGUUCGAAUCCCGUACGGACUAUGG